rnacentral:lncRNA from 1 species
AGUAAAAGUGCAAAUGAAUUUGAAGAUGGGUUUAUAUCCAGUAUACAAUUUGAAGAACAGAAUGAGUAUUAAAGAAAUGAACAGAGAUUCAGGGACCUGUGGGACAAUAGCAAAAGGUCUAAUGUUCAUGUCACUGGAGCCCCAAAGAAGAGGAAAAAGAGAUUAGGUGCACAAGAUGUACUUGAAAAAGAAAUAAAUUCAUAUCCAAAUACAUACAUUUAUAAACUGAAGAGGCUCAGUGAACCGCAGAAUAGAUAAAAUAAAAUAAAACAAGCACCGGAAUCAUUCUAAUCCAAUUACUAAAGAUUAAAGAUAAGAAGUCUUCAAAAGAGCCAGAGAAAUAUGAUAAACUAGAUAUAAGUCAACAAUGAUAGCAAGGUGAGGCGACUGAGGUGAUGAUACCUGUGGUUCCCAUCAGGGAAGCCAGCUGGGCAGGUUGGAAUGCUGACCCAGAAUGAGGGAAAGCCCAAACGUGAGAUAGAGUCAAAAGACUAUGAAUACCAACAGCGGUUGGGGGGCUAUCAGGGAUUGGAAUAUCCUUUAAUUACUUUCUUUAUUACAUCUUUUAUAAUGACUAUAAUCAUCCAUAAGCAUGAAGGCUGAGUGAUAAAAUAGGUUUAAUGAGGGUUGUCAUUGGAUCUUGGCAGUAGAAGGGCUGGAAUAUGGUACCUCCACCAUGACAUUGUGGUCCAUGUGAUGUCAGCUGCAGCUGCUGUGGGAGGUUAUGAGGAAAUCCAGACUCCCUCCCUCAAGCACAUCUUGUCCUGCUACUCAGAGCCAUCUUCAGGGCCCAUCUGGUCUAUGUUAACGUGUAGCCUAGGAACUUAGGGGUAUCAGUGCCCCUGGAGGCAGUCCUCAACCAAUAGAAGUAGAAGACAAUAGGUAAGACUUUUGUCCUUUAGAUGACAGUUAGGGAAGGUGUUCUGCCUACUGUGCAGCAAUAUCAUCUCCAUUGCCCAGAGUAGUAAUUUUAAUAACACAUCCCUUUUUGUGUGUGUGUGUUUUCCCCUCCUUUACCCUUUCUCUAUUCUUUUCCAUCAUUCUUGUUCCCAAUAAAACCACCUGUACCUAAGUCCUUGUCUUAAACAGUUAGUUAUCUGUGUGAUCCUCAUUAACGGACAGGUUAAAUGCCAAAGAGAAAUAUGCUGUACUUUAUGUUUUACCAAGAAUGUGGACCUAUACUUAAUUAUCCCCCUCAAUCUAUACUUAUUUUUUUCUAAUAUUAUUUCUUAUCUCAAGAUCAGUAACAGGUUUCCAGUAGCAUUUAUUCCUUUGUUAAUUUAGAAAGACAAGAAGUCACUAGUUUUUCAGUAUGAUGGAGUUCUUGAAACUGUUGUCCUACAUUGCUUAUCUGAGAGACAUGUGUCCCUUUUACAUGAUCUAUAGAACCCUUAAACAGAGUCUAGAAGCAAAGGAAGAACUUAUCAACCCCUUUGGUAUUUUAUUAUCAAUACAUGCAAGAUACCUCUUUUUCACACUUUGACAACACAAGAGAAAACAAUUUAUUUAGAUCCAAAUCAUUUCUUUGUUCUUUUUGUCAAUACAAACCUUGAAAGAAAAUGAUUCUGAUGAAGCUACCAAAAAUUAGAAUAUAACAUUCAUGCUUUUAACAAUGAGUAUCUCCAAGAAUGAAAUCUGAACCAAACGGAUCUUCUGGGUCACAGGAUACCAAACCCUAAUUUAUUAUUUUUAAAUUUUGCUUUCCUGCUUUUUUAGUAACUUGCUAUAUACCACUUCCCUCUUUCCUUGUUUCUUUAUAAGAUUUUUGCUUUUCCAUGAAGUACUCACUUCUUCCCUCUUGUCUUGAUUUGUGUCACAUGAGACCUGCCACUUCCAGUUUCAGGUCUAAAUUUGGCAUUUGUAACUUAGCCUCAAACAUCACUGGGGAGGUUCUUGUAGGAUGGUGACUGUGGAACUGGAAACCACCCAUACUGCUAAUCCCCUGCCUUCAAAAAAAGGAGAAAACAGACUCUCAUCAGGAGAUUGCUAACCCAGAACCCUAUGUAAAGCAUCCUUUAC